CCUACGGGUGGCAGCAGUAGGGAAUAUUGCACAAUGGGGGAAACCCUGAUGCAGCGACGCCGCGUGAAGGAAGAAGUAUCUCGGUAUGUAAACUUCUGUCAGCAGGGAAGAAAAUGACGGUACCGGACUAAGAAGCCCCGGCUAAAUACGUGCCAGCAGCCGCGGGAAUACGUAGGGGGCACGCGUGAUCCGGAUUUACUGGGGGAAAAGGGAGCGUCGAAGGGAGAGCAAGUAUGAUGUGAAAGGCUGGGGCUUAGCCCCAGGACUGCAUUGGAAACUGUUAUUCUAGAGUGACGGAGAGGUAAGCGGAAUUCCUAGUGUAGCGGUGAAAUGCGUAGAUAUUAGGAGGAACACCAGUGGCGAAGGCGGCUUACUGGACGGUAACUGACGUUGAGGCUCGAAAGCGUGGGGAGCAAACAGGAUUAGAUACCCCAGUAGUC
rnacentral:rRNA from 1 species